rnacentral:misc_RNA from 1 species
UUCAGUUUUGCCUGGGAGUCCAAUUGGUAGAGUUUAGUUAUCAUUUAUUGGUAUUCCGAUAAUCAUUUGCGCUUAAACAGAAACCAGCAAGCAGUUUUUUAAUUAAAGUUUUAUUGAAAGAAAUCAGUGAAUGGCCCAUCGAUUACGGCGUUUAGUUCUCAAAUAUAUUUUUUUGCUUCUUCUGCGGUUUAGUAAUUAUUUACCCGCAAUAUGCGUUAAUUAUUUACCGAGGCAGAUAGUAAGACGGAUGUUCGUAAUUGUGAUGUGGCUAGAUCAAUGUGAAACAAACUUGGUGAAGACUUACGUUGAGUAUUUUAGAACUUACGGAUGACUUCUUUGGAUAAGUAUAUGUAAAUGUAAAACCGCGCAAACGAAGAACAAUUGCAAUUACCGGCUCGUCACCAACGGAAAAUGACAAAGUCAAACAAAAGAAAUCACGUCGCCGAUUCGAUGUACCCAUUACAAACGUCUUCGUAGAUGACGAUGACG